GACGAACGCUGGCGGCGUGCUUAACACAUGCAAGUCGAACGGAAAGGCCCUGCUUUUGUGGGGUGCUCGAGUGGCGAACGGGUGAGUAACACGUGAGUAACCUGCCCUUGACUUUGGGAUAACUUCAGGAAACUGGGGCUAAUACCCGAUAGGAGCUCCUGCUGCAUGGUGGGGGUUGGAAAGUUUCGGCGGUUGGGGAUGGACUCGCGGCUUAUCAGCUUGUUGGUGGGGUAGUGGCUUACCAAGGCUUUGACGGGUAGCCGGCCUGUGAGGGUGACCGGCGAGAUUGGGACUGAGAGACGACCCAGACUCCUACGGGGGGCAACGGUGGAAAAUAUUGUACAGUGGGCGGAAGCCUGAUGCAGCAGCGCCGCGGGCGGAAUGACGGCCUUCGGGGUGUAAACCGCUUUCGCCUAUGACGAAGCGUGAGUGACGGUAAUGGGUAAAGAAGCACCGGCUAACUACGUG
rnacentral:rRNA from 1 species